ACGUAGGUGGCAAGCGUUAUCCGGAAUUACUGGGCGUAAAGCGCACGCAGGCGGUCUUUUAAGUUUGACGUGAAAGCUCACGGCUUAACUGGGAGAGGUCGUCGAAUACUGGAAGACUUGAGGAAAUGAGAGGGGUGUAGAAUUCCCGGUGCAGUGGUGGAAUGCGUAGAUAUCGGGGGGAAUACCAGUGGCGAAAGCGGCACCCUAGCAUUUUUCUGACGCUCAUGUGCGAAAGCGUGGGGAGCGAACGGGA
rnacentral:rRNA from 1 species